UACUGAGUGUUCUUAAUGGUAAAGAAUCUGCCUGAAAUGCACAAGACCCAGGUUCGAUCCCUGGGUCAGGAA
rnacentral:tRNA from 1 species